AAGAUUAAGCCAUGCAUGUCUAAGUAUAAGCUUUUAUACGGUGAAACUGCGAAUGGCUCAUUAAAACAGUUAUAGUUUAUUUGAUGGUCUCUUUUACAUGGAUAACCAUGGUAAUUCUAUGGCUAAUACAUGCGCAAUCGCCUCCUUCUCUGGAGGGGCUGUGUUUAUUAGAUACAGAACCAAACCCACCUUGUGUGGAGUCCUGGUGAUUCAUAGUAACCGAACGGAUCGCAUUUUAUGCUUCGGCCGCGAUAUAUCUUUCAAGUUUCUGACCUAUCAGCUUUCGACGGUAGGGUAUUGGCCUACCGUGGCAGUGACGGGUAACGGGGAAUUAGGGUUCGAUUCCGGAGAGGGAGCCUGAGAAACGGCUACCACAUCUAAGGAAGGCAGCAGGCGCGCAAAUUACCCAAUGAAAACAGUUUCGAGGUAGUGACGAGAAAUAACAAUACAGGGCAUAUUUUUGCUUUGUAAUUGGAAUGAUGGGAAUGUAAAACCCUUUCAGAGUAACAAUUGGAGGGCAAGUCUGGUGCCAGCAGCCGCGGUAAUUCCAGCUCCAAUAGCGUAUAUUAGAGUUGUUGCAGUUAAAAAGCUCGUAGUUGGAUUUCUGUCGUGGGGUCAUCCGGUUCCGCCUGUAUGGGUGUGCACCUGGAUUGCCCUCGGCAUUUUUCCGGUUGCUUAUCAUGCUUUAUUGCAUGAUAAUGUGUUCCGGAACUUUUACUUUGAGAAAAAUAGAGUGUUUCAAGCAGGCUUGUCGCCUUGAAUACUGCAGCAUGGAAUAAUAAGAUAGGACCUUGGUUCUAUUUUGUUGGUUUCUAGGACUAGGGUAAUGAUUAAUAGGGACAGUUGGGGGCAUUCGUAUUUAACUGUCAGAGGUGAAAUUCUUAGAUUUGUUAAAGACGAACUACUGCGAAAGCAUUUGCCAAGGAUGUUUUCAUUAAUCAAGAACGACAGUAGGGGGUUUGAAGACGAUUAGAUACCGUCGUAAUCUCUACCAUAAACUAUGCCGACUAGAGAUAGGGAAAUGCCUACCUUGGCUUCUCCUGCACCUCAUGAGAAAUCAAAGUCUCUGGGUUCUGGGGGGAGUAUGGUCGCAAGGCUGAAACUUAGAGGAAUUGACGGAAGGGCACCACCAGGCGUGGAGCCUGCGGCUUA
rnacentral:rRNA from 1 species